rnacentral:rRNA from 1 species
UACGGAGGAUGCAAGCGUUAUCCGGAAUGAUUGGGCGUAAAGCGUCCGCAGGUGGCUAUGUAAGUCUGCUGUUAAAGAGUGAGGCUCAACCUCAUAAGAGCAGUGGAAACUACGUGGCUAGAGUGCGUUCGGGGCAGAGGGAAUUCCUGGUGUAGCGGUGAAAUGCGUAGAGAUCAGGAAGAACACCGGUGGCGAAAGCGCUCUGCUAGGCCGCAACUGACACUCAUGGACGAAAGCUAGGGGAGCGAAUGG